UUGGGGGGGGGGCUAGGAUGAAAAUUUUUGUCCUGCAUUUUUUUUUUUAGCUGUAAUCUCUGUCCUGCAUUUUUAUUUUUCACUCUGUUCGGUCCUGCUUUUUUUUUUUAGUUUAUCCUGACUUUUUUUUACCUAAAUUGUCGUCCUGAUUUUUUUUUUGCAAGUGUCUCAUCCUGCCUUUUUUUUUUACUCAAAACUCCUGUCCUGCCUAUUUUUUUCAAAUUUCAUCCUAGCCCCCCCCCCCAUAAAAAUCAAAUGGUAGCUCCUUUAAUGGUAUUGGCAAAUUAUUCCACAAGAAUGGUCCAGAAUACAUAAAAGAUUU
rnacentral:lncRNA from 1 species